rnacentral:misc_RNA from 1 species
CCUACAUCGGAUCAAAAUUUGAUCAAAACCAACUGAUUUGGUCUGAUUCAAAGCAAAAACCCAUUUUUUCCCUUUUAAAAUAAGAAAAAAAAUUUAAAAUAGAAACCAGGUCAAACUACGACCGAAAUAGAUCGAACCAGAACUAGGGAACAAUCUGGUCUGAUCCUGGGUCCAUGAACCUUUGAACUGGAGCCAACAAUUUCAGCCCAAAACCAAACCGGAGGCCAGAGGGAAACAAAUACUUUAGAAACCCAUACAACAGUAGAAGACAAGCAAAAAAGGUAUUAUUGAUUGGGUAAACCACAAGAAGCCCAAAUGAAAAUGGUAUUAUCCUCCCUAAUUUUAAGCUCAACAAAAAUAAAUUGGAUGAAGAUGAAUUCCUACAUGACAACAUGCUGAAAACCAAAAAUUGACUAAAGAAUGAAAUCCAAGCCAUUUUCUUCGUGCGACCAUAGCAGCCCUACUGAAAGAGGGUUCUUGUCAAGUGUUCGCGUGCUGUAGCCAGUGCUUGGCUUAUUGUCUACGAUAUUAGGAAAGAAACUUGAAGAUUAGGCAAAUAAAUCAAGAGGGUAAACUACAUGAGCACAACAAUUUGCCUAGCAAUGUGUGAUCUAUAAAAAUAAAGGAGUUCUUGAGCAUGUGAAAGUGGUUUCUGCUAUCCAUCACAUUUUCAAGGAUUUAAUAAUUUUCAUUUCAACAUUUCUUAUAAUUCACAUGGAAAGAAAUUAACAUUUAUGUUACAUUUGGUAGACUGUAACGUAGACCCGGCCACGGGCAGGUUCGAAUUGUGAACUAGACUGAUCAAUGUUUCCAGCUCAUGAACUGGCCUGGAACCGGGGUAUAGAAGGCCGGUUACGAUCCUCCACCAUUUUGAACUAGAAUCUGCCAGAUUCAAAAAAUUGUUUUUUUUUUUUAAUUUAUAUUGGAUUUAUAUUUGUGCCUCUUUAAUUAUUUUACAUAAGAAGCUAACUAAAUAAAGUUCAAAAAUUUAUAAUAAUUUGGUAAUAUACCAUAGGCAAAACCAUAACCGAACAGAAACCACUUCGAACCAAAACUGGUCAAGUAUAAACCAUUAGGGCAGCCAAACUAAUGGUUCCAGCCCAAAACGGGACCAGAACCAGCCGAUGGCCAAAUCUACCGUAAUGCAAUUGAUUUUUCUAUUAAGAUUCGAUAAAAAAUUUGAUUGCACUACAUUGCAUUACGGUCUACCAAAUAUAACUUUACUUUAUUAUUUAGUGCCGAAAAAACAAAAGAAAGAAGUUAAACCUGCUCAGACAAAGGUGCACCAGGAUCCAUGCUAUUUAUUGCCACCUUUCCUGCAAUAACAUUGGCAUCUGUUUCAAGUAUCAUCCUGCCAAAACAAAUGAAAAACACGUUAAAAGCUUCUCGAUCAUUAGUAAAGAACUGAACAGCACCAACAGUGAGCAGAUGAGAGAAACAAGCUCAAAACUCUAUCAGUCUUCUAUACAAUAGCCCUUAGAAAAAGAUAAAAUUAAUGGAUUCAGAUUUCACUAAAAGUCCACAUUUUGGAUCAUUUACCCAAAAUCUUCAAAAUGAAUCAUGGUAUGGGAUUGUUUCCAUAAGAAAGAUAAUUUUUCCUAUACUGCAAUCUCUACAUGUGAGAGUGAGGUUAUGAAAAGAUACAUAACUAAAAAGAUCUGUCAGUUCUAAUGCUCAAAUGUGUUACAAUCUAAAGAAAUUAAACUAUAAAAAUCUCUAUUAUUAGACUAAGCCAAUUGCUCUUCAGGUGUUAGCCAUAGACAUUUCUAACACUGCUCAUACUUUUAAUCUUGCCCCAAGAAAAGAGAUGAAAUUGCAAUGAGUUUAUGCCCUGUUAAAUAAUGAUACAAUGCCACACUUUUAACGUUGACUUUUGACUGUUCACUGUCCACUCUAAUAGCUGAGGAGAACAAAGGUAAACUGAUCAGAAAGGAACCUAAAAUUAAUGACCUACCAAAAAUGAGAAAAGGUAAGAAGAAAAUUAUUGCCAUACCGUUGACUCAAAGAGGAAUGUCAGAACAGAGAUAAAUAAACCAUUAGCUCAACUUCACUGAACAAGCUACAAUUACCAAUAAGGCACACAUCCUUAACAGGAACGAUUAAAGGCAGCACAAGUACUACGGAUAGAAACCUCCACAAUUUCUUUAGUUGAAAAUUUUCCCUUAUUAUAUUAGGUGUAUCAUGUCAUUCAUUUCAAUUCCAAAUAAAAUAAACAAUUGCACAGCAAAUAUACCAAGAACAAAAACUCAAAUGAGUGCAAAAAGUGUUAAUUAAACUGUGAAAUAUAUAAAUUAAGAAGCAAACCCAUACCCUUUUUCAACGAUCUCAUCAAGACACAAAAAGAUGAGAUCUAAGUUCUCAAGAGCCUACCUUUUGUCAACAGUACUCCUCAAGAGAAGAGAAACUGAAUCAAAGAAACCUCGAAGGACAGAAGCUAAGAUGAGUUCAUUUUCAUCAUCACCUCCAGUCACAAAGAAUUGUAGGUCUUGAAUAAAUUUACAGAUGAUAAUGUAGUUGUCGAACAUUGUGAUCUCCGCUGCAUACAGGAACAUAUUAGGAAUGCAGGUUUCUUGGUAUCUUAUAACCUCAAUGCCAGGUUAAGCAGAAUCUCAGAGGUCCAUGAUCAACUUUUCUAGUUUUACUAUAAUAGUGAUGGCUGAGGGAACACAAACACUUAUGUAAUAAUGCAAAUAUGUUAUAAUCCUUUGUGACCCUUCUGAUACCUAAUUAGCUAUGCUUUCACAUUCCAAGAAUACCCAACUAUUAAUUUCAAAGUAAGUUGUACAUGAAUGGACUGUUACCAAUGAUAUAAAACAAUAUAUGAAAAUUUAUCUCAUUCAAAGCAGCUUGGUAAAUUGCUACUUGACCAAAGUUUUCUAUAUCCAAAAUUAUGAAACCAAUAACUAAGAUUCUCCACCAGCCAAUAAUUCGUUGGCAAUAAGCAUUUGGAAAUACAUUAGUAAUUCUUGUGGGGUGCGUGUAUGUGUGCGCGCGCGCACGAGCGUGUGUGUAUACGUGUUCCUCAUGUGGAUUGAGUCAAUUUAGAGCAGGCAUAUGAACUUCAGAUUUAAUUGAAUUGGAUAUUGAGAUUUAGCUAAUCAAAUGAAAUAUUGUGUUUAAAGCUUAGCAUUUCAUCACCAAGCAUGAAUAAUUAAGAAUUCACCUAUCAGUUACUGAACUUGGUAUAGUAAUAAAAAAAAAUAUGCAACCGUUUCAUGCUCUGGUGGUACACAAGAAGAUAUUUUUCUUACUAACAUCAUUAGCAAAGGACUUUACAUUUUGUUAAUAGUAAAACUAAUAAUUUUCUUUUGUAACAUCCAGCUCAGAAUCUUGUUGGGCAGGAAUUUAAUGAAAGCUUUGUUACUGCAUAAUUUUGAUAUAAUCCAUUAAUAACCAAUUAACCAUGAUCCACAAAGUGGUGGGUGCACUCUAAUCUAUAGUAAUUUAUACAAAUUAUGAAGAAAACCUUCUGUCCGGGCAUUUGACUUCAUAGUCUUGGUAAACAGUGAUUUUCAAAAGCUAACUUUGCAUUAUUAGUUGGCCAGUCAUCAGAGUAGUAUUUGACAGCCACACGUUUCCCUUCAGAGUCUAGCAGAAGAAUGUUCUUUACCAUGGGGCAAGCAUCCUGCAAAAUAAAAAUUAAACAUUCGUCAUUCAUGUCCAGAAGGCAAAUGUGGAUCUCUAAUCUCAUAGGAGCUAUAACUAAGAGAGACAGAGAACAUGAAAAAAACCAUUCAUAAACAAAUUACAAAAACCAGAACGAGUAAUCCCCUCCAACUCCUUGGCAUCCACCAAAUAGAUACAUAUAUUAUACAAUGAACCACUGAAACUAGAUAAACUCAACAUAAUCAGCUCUUGCCUAAGAUCCAUCCAGUUCCACAGUCAUCUAAUCUACAAGGUUACAUGAUCUUAAAUUGGAGCUAAAUCCUACGGUACUAAUUGCAACCAUGCAAAGUUCAAAGUUAAACUAAAUUUCCACAAAUCAUGCCUCCACCUCCAGAGUCCAGAUCCAACAAAGUAUGCAAAACUAUACUUUUCUCCUACGGUUGGAUUGAAAUUACACUUGGUGCAUAAUAAAAAAAAGCCUAAUAAAUAACAAAAGAGAUCCAGUAAAAAAGACAAGAAAUGCGCAAAAUAACGAGAAACGUUGUAACUUUACUUUCUGUCUCCAAAAUUUUCUUA